ACUAUUUUGGCAGAUAAGUGCAAUGGAUUUAGAAUCUGUAAAUGUAAGUUGUUGUUACAUGUAGUA
rnacentral:tRNA from 1 species